ACGCUGGCGGCGUGCCUAACACAUGCAAGUCGAACGGACUGAUUCCCUUCGGGGAUGAAAGUUAGUGGCGGACGGGUGAGUAACGCGUGAGUAACCUGCCUUUCAGAGGGGGAUAACGUUUGGAAACGAACGCUAAUACCGCAUAACAUAUCGGUACCGCAUGAUACUGAUAUCAAAGGAGCAAUCCGCUGAAAGAUGGACUCGCGUCUGAUUAGAUAGUUGGCGGGGUAACGGCCCACCAAGUCGACGAUCAGUAGCCGGACUGAGAGGUUGAACGGCCACAUUGGGACUGAGACACGGCCCAGACUCC
rnacentral:rRNA from 1 species